UCCAAAUAUAUUCUGAUUAAGGGCCCAAUUUUGAGAAUGAUAUCGGCAAAUGGUAACAGAAUUGGUGAAUGUGAUUGGCGAAUGCAAUUUCCCUUAGCCACAGGCCUUGCCCAUAUCAGAGUCUCCGCCGAUCACCUCUUGCGGGUUUAAAAAAAGGCACAUACCAUUUGACGAUAAAAUCCCCAAAAUUGGGCCCUAAAUGUGUCAUGCAAAUACACUUUCUUUCAGUCUUUGAUGAGGAGACUUGUUCGAUGUGUGGAGCUGACAAGCCCCCUGGACAAGCACCUCCCGUUACAGACUGGAUCCAGUGUGAUAAUUGUGACCGGUGGUUCCAUAACCUUUGCUUGAACAUGGACCAAAAUAAGUUAAAGGAAGUCAAGAAAAGGCAAUGGCUGUGUGUUUUAUGCCGAUGACAAGGUUGAGGAAAAUUGUGCCUCGUCCAAGUGCCAGGUUUUGUUUAGAAAUGUGAUUAAAAAAAACAAAAAACUUAAAAGGCGUGUUUACAUCAGAAAAUGUGGAAAGCAUGAAUGGGGAGGGGAGACACACACACACACACACACACACACACACACACACACACACACACACACACACACACACACACACACACACACACACACACACACACACACACACACACACACACACACAAACACACA